AGAGUUUGAUCCUGGCUCAGGACGAACGCUGGCGGCGUGCCUUAAGCAUGCAAGUAGAACGAGUUUCUUUCUUGCCGCAAGGCAAGCUUGAAGCUAGUUGCGAACGGCUGAGUAUAAGAUAGGAAUCUUUCCUUUGGUGGGGAAUACCUCCGGGAAACCGGAGCUAAUACCGCAUAAGAUCUACGGAUGAACGCGCAUAACUGCGCGCCGAUUGAGGAGCCUAUCUCCCAUCAGGCAGUUGGUAGGGUAAUGGCCUACCAAACCUACGACGGGUACCCGCUCUGAGAGGAGAACCGGGCAGAAUGGGACUGAGACACGGCCCAUACACCUACGGGUGGCAGCAACUGGGAAUCGUACACAAUGGACGAAAGUCUGAUGUCGCGACGCCGCGUGAGGGAUGAAGGUCUUCGGAUCGUAAACCUCUUUUGCCGUGAGUGAGAACUCAUGGAGAAUAAGCACCUGCUAACCUCGUGCCAGCAGCCGCGGUAAUAC
rnacentral:rRNA from 1 species